rnacentral:rRNA from 1 species
AUUGAACGCUGGCGGCAGGUCUAACACAUGCAAGUCGAGCGAGCGGCGGACGGGUGAGUGAUGUAUGUGGAUCUGCCCGAUAGAGGGGGAUAACUACUGGAAACGGUGGCUAAUACCGAAUACUAUCGGAUGAACCCAUAGGGGAUUAGCUAGUAGGUGGGGUAAAGGUUCACCUAGCGACGAGCUCUAGCUGGUCUGACAGGAUGAUCAGCCACACUGGGACUGAGACACGGCCCAGACUCCUACGGGAGGCAGCAGUGGGGAAUAUUGCGCAAUGGGGGCAACCCUGACGCAGCCAUGCCGGGUGAAUGAAGAAGGCCUUCGGGUUGUGAAGUUCUUUCGGUAGCGAGACGUUAUUGACAGAAGAAGCACCGGCUAACUCCGUGCCAGCAGCCGCGGUAAUAC